rnacentral:rRNA from 1 species
UAGGGAAUCUUCCACAAUGGACGAAAGUCUGAUGGAGCAACGCCGCGUGAGUGAAGAGGGUUUCGGCUCGUAAAACUCUGUUGUUAAAGAAGAACAUAUCUGAGAGUAACUGUUCAGGUAUUGACGGUAUUUAACCAGAAAGCCACGGCUAACUACGUGCCGG